AGUGAACGCUGGCGGCAGGCCUAAUUCAUGCAAGUCGAACGGCAGCACAGCAGAGCUUGCUCUGUGGGUGGCGAGUGGCGGACGGGUGAGGAAUACAUGGGAAUCUGCCCAGUCGUGGGGGAUAACGUAGGGAAACUUACGCUAAUACCGCAUGCGCCCUUCGGGGAAAGCCGGGGACCUUCGGGCCUGGCGCGAUUGGAUGAGCCCAUGUCGGAUUAGCUAGUUGGCUGGGUAAUGGCCCACCAAGGCGACGAUCCGUAGCUGGUCUGAGAGGAUGAUCAGCCACACUGGAACUGAGACACGGUCCAGACUCCUACGGGAGGCAGCAGUAGGGAAUAUUGGACAAUGGGCGCAAGCCUGAUCCAGCCAUGCCGCGUGAGUGAAGAAGGCCCUCGGGUUGUAAAGCUCUUUUGUCCGGAAAGAAAAGCGCCGGGUUAAUACCCUGGUGUCCUGACGGUACCGGAAGAAUAAGCACCGGCUAACUCGUGCCAGCAGCCGACGG
rnacentral:rRNA from 1 species